GUUGUCGUCAGCUCGUGUCGUGAGAUGUUGGGUUAAGUCCCGCAACGAGCGCAACCCCUAUUGUUAGUUGCCAUCAUUCAGUUGGGCACUCUAGCGAGACUGCCGGUAAUAAACCGGAGGAAGGUGGGAUGACGUCAAAUCAUCAUGCCCCUUAUGACCUGGGCUACACACGUGCUACAAUGGUUGGUACAACGAGUUGCGAGUCGGUGGCGGCGAGCUAAUCUCUUAAAGCCAAUCUCAGUUCGGAUUGUAGGCUGCAACUCGCCUACAUGAAGUCGGAAUCGCUAGUAAUCGCGGAUCAGCACGCCGCGGUGAAUACGUUCCCGGGCCUU
rnacentral:rRNA from 1 species